UCGCUGAUACCCUUUAAUGAGUGAAAAAGAAAAUAUACUUCCACACGCGCAGAUCCCCGUCGUGAAUGGUAAGGCUGAUUCAGGAGCUGGAGGAGCCUCAUGAAAAUGAACAGAAUACCAUCAGAAGCCUCGGACUGCGGCGAAUAAUUGAUGCAGUUCAUCAAGAAGGGAUGCGAGGGUAUGUUGCUACACUUCAGCCAUUUGGACUCAUCCGACAUCACAGAGAAGUCGGACUUUGCGAAAGCCCCAAAACAUUCCAGCGAGGAUAUCGUAUUUACGAAGAAUGUACUCGAUAAAUGUUCCUGUUCCUGUUCCUGACGAUCGGGAACACACAGUCAGAGGUUGGCAUAAAUUUAGAAAGAAGUCGAUUCCAGGAACGGUUUCAGAAGCAGCUGUUGUGUCUAUUGUGCUUUGUCCACUUUUUUCCCGUCAUCCGUUCGGCGAGUUGCUUAAUACCAUGGGAUGUGAUCUGGUAAAGCAGAGAGGCAAGCAAAACACAAGUUGCAGUUAUUUCCGUUCAUAUA